rnacentral:rRNA from 1 species
GUUGAACGCUGGCGGCAGGCCUAACACAUGCAAGUCGAGCGGAUGAAUGAAGCUCGCUCCUGGAUGCAGCGGCGGACGGGCGAGUAAUUAAUAGGAAGCUGCCUGGUAGAGGGGGCUAACGUCAGGAAAGGAGCGCUGAUACAGCAUCGGUCCAGAGGUCGAACGGGGGGGAUCGUCAGAGCAAGCGCGUUCAGAUGACCCUAGGUCGGAUUAGCUAGUUGGUGAGGUAACGGCGUACCAAGGCGACGAUCCGUAACGGGUCUGAGAGGAUGAUCAGUCACACUGGAACUGAGACACGGUCCAGACUCCUACGGGAGGCAGCAGUAGGGAAUAUUGGACAAUGGGCGAAAGCCUGAUGCAGCAAUGCCGCGUGAGUGAAGAAGGUCUUCGGAUUGUAAAGCACUGUUAGUUGGGAGGAACAGCAGUAAAUUAAACUGUUGCUGUCUUGACGGUACCAACUCAAUAAGCCCCGGCUAACUUCGUG